rnacentral:rRNA from 1 species
GACGAACGCUGGCGGCGUGCCUAAUACAUGCAAGUAGAACGCACAGUUUAUACCGUAGCUUGCUACACCAUAAACUGUGAGUUGCGAGCGGGUGAGUAACGCGUAGGUAACCUGCCUGGUAGCGGGGGAUAACUAUUGGAAACGAUAGCUAAUACCGCAUAUUAUUGAUUAUUGCAUGAUAAUUGAUUGAAAGAUGCUAUUGCAUCACUACCAGAUGGACCUGCGUUGUAUUAGCUAGUAGGUGAGGUAACGGCUCAACUAGGCGACGAUACAUAGCCGACCUGGAAGGGUGAUCGGCCACAAUGGGACUGAGAAACGGCCCAGAAUCCUACGGGAGGCAGCAGUAGGGAAUCUUCGGCAAUAGACGAAAGUCUGACCGAGCAACGCCGCGUGAGUGAAGAAGGUUUUCGGAUCGUAAAGCUCUGUUGUAAGAGAAGAAAGGGUGUGAGAGUGAAAAGUUCACACUGUGACGGUAUCUAAACAGAAAGGGACGGCUAACUACGUG